AACAGGAUUAGAUACCCUGGUAGUCCACGCCGUAAACGAUGUCGACUUGGAGGCUGUUCCCUUGAGGAGUGGCUUCCGGAGCUAACGCGUUAAGUCGACCGCCUGGGGAGUACGGCCGCAAGGUUAAAACUCAAAUGAAUUGACGGGGGCCCGCACAAGCGGUGGAGCAUGUGGUUUAAUUCGAUGCAACGCGAAGAACCUUACCUACUCUUGACAUCCAGAGAACUUUCCAGAGAUGGAUUGGUGCCUUCGGGAACUCUGAGACAGGUGCUGCAUGGCUGUCGUCAGCUCGUGUUGUGAAAUGUUGGGUUAAGUCCCGCAACGAGCGCAACCCUUAUCCUUUGUUGCCAGCGAUUCGGUCGGGAACUCAAAGGAGACUGCCGGUGAUAAACCGGAGGAAGGUGGGGAUGACGUCAAGUCAUCAUGGCCCUUACGAGUAGGGCUACACACGUGCUACAAUGGCGCAUACAAAGAGAAGCGACCUCGCGAGAGCAAGCGGACCUCAUAAAGUGCGUCGUAGUCCGGAUCGGAGUCUGCAACUCGACUCCGUGAAGUCGGAAUCGCUAGUAAUCGUGGAUCAGAAUGCCACGGUGAAUACGUUCCCGGGCCUUGUACACACCGCCCGUCACACCAUGGGAGUGGGUUGCAAAAGAAGUAGGUAGCUUAACCUCCGGGAGGGCGCUUACCACUUUGUGAUUCAUGACAGGGGUGAAGUCGUAACAAGGUAUC
rnacentral:rRNA from 1 species